rnacentral:lncRNA from 1 species
ACGUGGGGACAGUGACACGGGGAUGCCAACACAGGGACACCCACAUGGGGACAGUGAGACAGGGACACCCCCAUGGGGACACCCAUGUGGGGACAGUGACACGGGGACACCCAGAUGGGGACAGUGACACGGGGACACCUGCACGGGGACAUUGACAUGGAGACACUGACAUAGGGACAGUGACAUGGGGACAGUGACAUAGGGACAUUCACACAGGGACACCCAUAUGGGGACACCCAUGUGGGGACAGUGACAUGGGGACAGUGACACGGGGACACUGACAUAGGGACAGUGACAUGGGGACACCCCCAUGGGGACAUUGAGAUGGGGACACCUGCACAGUGACAGCGACAUGGGGACAGUGACAUGGGGACACUGAGAUGGGGACACCCAGGCAGUGACACUGACCUGGGGACAGUGACACGGGGACACCCCCAUGGGGACAUUGAGAUGGGGACACCCGCAUAGGGACAGCGACAUGGGGACACUGAGUUGGGGACACCCCCAUGGGGACAUGGACACAGGGACACCCACAUGGGGACAGUGACACGGGGACACCCAGAUGGGGACACUGACAUGGGGACACCCGCAUGGGGACACCCAGAUGGUGACACCCAGAUGGGGACAGUGACACAGGGACACCCAGAUGGGGACACCCGCAUGGGGACAGUGACACGGGGACAUUGAGACAGGGACACCUGCAUGGGGACACUGACAUGGGGACACUGACAUGGGGACAGUGACACGGGGACACCUGCAUGGGGGCACUGACAUGGGGAUAUUGACAUGGGGACACCCCCAUGGGGACAGUGACAUAGGGACAUUCACACAGGGACACCCAUAUGGGGACACCCACGUGGGGACAGUGACAUGGGGACACCCCCAUGUGGACAUUGAGAUGGGGACACCUGCACAGUGGCAGCGACAUGGGGACAGUGACAUGGGGACAGUGACAUGGGGAUGCCAACAUGGGGACACCCACAUGGGGACAGUGACAUGGGGACACUGAGACAGGGACACCCAGAUGGGGACAGUGACAUGGGGAUGCCAACACAGGGACACCCACAUGGGGACACCCACAUGGGGACAGUGACAUGGGGACACCCAGAUGGGGACAGUGACAUGGGGACACCCAGAUGGGGACAAUGACACGGGGACACCCACGUGGGGACAGUGACACGGGGAUGCCAACACAGGGACACCCACAUGGGGACAGUGAGACAGGGACACCCCCAUG